GCUAGUAAUCGCGGAUCAGAAUGCUGCGGUGAAUACGUUCCCGGGUCUUGUACACACCGCCCGUCACACCAUGGGAGCCGGGAAUGCCCGAAGUCGGUGACCCAACCGUAAGGAGGGAGCCGCCGAAGGCAGGCCUGGUAACUGGGGUGAAGUCGUAACAAGGUACC
rnacentral:rRNA from 1 species